UACGGAGGAUGCAAGCGUUAUCUGGAUUUAUUGGGUUUAAAGGGUGCGCAGGUUGUUUGAUAAGUCAGUGGUGAAAGUCUGUCGCUUAACGGUAGGAUUGCCAUUGAUACUGUUGGACUUGAAUAUGGAUGAGGUAGGCGGAAUGUGUAGUGUAGCGGUGAAAUGCAUAGAUGUUACUCAGAACACCGAUUGCGAAGGCAGCUUACUAAUCCAUCAUUGACGCUGAGGCACGAAAGCGUGGGGAUCAAA
rnacentral:rRNA from 1 species